rnacentral:rRNA from 1 species
UAACGGCCCACCAAGGCGACGAUGCGUAGGGGUUCUGAGAGGAAGGUCCCCCACACUGGUACUGAGACACGGACCAGACUCCUACGGGAGGCAGCAGUGAGGAAUAUUGGUCAAUGGGCGCGAGCCUGAACCAGCCAAGUCGCGUGAGGGAAGACGGUCCUAUGGAUUGUAAACCUCUUUUGUCGGGGAGCAAAAGACGCCACGUGUGGCGUUCCGAGAGUACCCGAAGAAAAAGCAUCGGCUAACUCCGUGCCAGCAGCCGCGGUAAUACGGAGGAUGCGAGCGUUAUCCGGAUUUAUUGGGUUUAAAGGGUGCGCAGGCGGAAGAUCAAGUCAGCGGUAAAAUUGAGAGGCUCAACCUCUUCGAGCCGUUGAAACUGGUUUUCUUGAGUGAGCGAGAAGUAUGCGGAAUGCGUGGUGUAGCGGUGAAACGCAUAGAUAUCACGCAGAACUCCGAUUGCGAAGGCAGCAUACCGGCGCUCAACUGACGCUCAUGCACGAAAGUGUGGGUAUCGAACAGGAUUAGAUACCCUGGUAGUCCACACAGUAAACGAUGAAUACUAAUUGUUCGGGGAGAAUGAUCCCUGA